GACGAACGCUGGCGGCGUGCCUAAUACAUGCAAGUUGAGCGCUGAAGGUUGGUACUUGUACCAACUGGAUGAGCAGCGAACGGGUGAGUAACGCGUGGGGAAUCUGCCUUUGAGCGGGGGACAACAUUUGGAAACGAAUGCUAGUACCGCAUAAAAACUUUAAACACAAGUUUUAAGUUUGAAAGAUGCAAUUGCAUCACUCAAAGAUGAUCCCGCGUUGUAUUAGCUAGUUGGUGAGGUAAAGGCUCACCAAGGCGAUGAUACAUAGCCGACCUGAGAGGGUGAUCGGCCACAUUGGGAAUGAGACACGGCCCAAACACCUACGGGAGGCAGCAGUAGGGAAUCUUCGGCAAUGGACGAAAGUCUGACCGGGCAACGCCGCGUGAGUGAAGAAGGUUUUCGGAUCGUAAAACUCUGUUGGUAGAGAAGAGCGUUGGUGAGAGUGGAAAGCUCAUCAAGUGACGGUAACUACCCAGAAAGGGACGGCUAACUACGUG
rnacentral:rRNA from 1 species